GCUCAGAACGAACGUUAGCGGCGCGCCUAACACAUGCAAGUCGCACGAGAAAGGGCUUCGGCCCCGGUACAGUGGCGCACGGGUGAGUAACACGUAGAUCAUCUCCCCUCGAGUGGUGGAUAACUCUCCGAAAGGAGAGCUAAUACAGCAUAAGACCACGGCUUCGCUGAAGCUGCGGCCAAAGCAGGCCUCUACACGUAAGCUUGCGCUUGAGGAUGAGUCUGCGGCCCAUCAGCUAGUUGGUAGGGUAAUGGCCUACCAAGGCUAAGACGGGUAGCUGGUCUGAGAGGAUGAACAGCCACACUGGAACUGAGACACGGUCCAGACUCCUACGGGAGGCAGCAGUAGGGAAUCUUGCGCAAUGGGCGAAAGCCUGACGCAGCGACGCCGCGUGAGCGAUGAAGGCCUUCGGGUUGUAAAGCUCUGUGGGGAGGAAAGAAUAAGGUUUGGCUAAUAUCCAAGCUGAUGACGGUACCUCCUUAGCAAGCACCGGCUAACUCUGUGCCAGCAGCCGCGGUAAGACAGAGGGUGCAAACGUUGUUCGGAAUUACUAGGCGUAAAGCGCGUGUAGGCGGCCCUGUAAGUCGGGUGUGAAAUCCCACGGCUCAACCGUGGAAGUGCACUCGAAACUACAGGGCUAGAGUCCUGGAGAGGAAGGUGGAAUGCUUGGUGUAGAGGUGAAAUUCGUAGAUAUCAAGCGGAACACCGGUGGCGAAGGCGGCCUUCUGGACAGUGACUGACGCUGAGACGCGAAAGCGUGGGGAGCAAACAGGAUUAGAUACCCUGGUAGUCCACGCCGUAAACGAUGAGUGCUAGGUGUCACGGGCUUUGACCCUCGUGGUGCCGAAGCUAACGCGUUAAGCACUCCGCCUGGGGAGUACGGCCGCAAGGCUA
rnacentral:rRNA from 1 species